rnacentral:lncRNA from 1 species
CUCAUGCUGUCAUCUUAGGAGAAUUUGUAAGUAAUCUGGACCCAGUCAAAUAUUUGACCUUGGAUGAGACACUCAACCUGCAUGUGGACCUGAGUCUGUCGUAUCUGGAGCUUCCCAAAAUCUGACAGUUUCCUUUUCUAUUAUGAUCCAUUUCUGUGUGUUUAUGCACUACUACCAUGUCAGCCGUGCUCAAGAACUCAAGAAACAAUACGAGGUGUUGGAGAGAUGAGGAAAAUUACUGGAUUGGUGUUGGAUGCCUAGGCAAUGGCAGUCUGAUUCUCAAAUGCUAGAAACAAGUCGGUGACCUCAUUUUUCCAAUGCAGUGUCUCUCUUCGAAGGAGAGAUCCCAAACUUUGGUAGUUGUAUUCUGGGGAAAACGAAUUUAGGAAAGGUUUUCAUUAUGAUUCAAGACAUUACCUGGACUCAUUAAGAACUUUGUGGGAGAAACAUUUAGAAGAACAUUUAGAAGAAGAUAUAUACACACACACACACACACACACACAC